rnacentral:rRNA from 1 species
UACGUAGGGGGCAAGCGUUGUCCGGAAUCAUUGGGCGUAAAGAGCGCGUAGGCGGCCCUGUAAGUCCGCUGUGAAAGUCAAGGGCUCAACCCUUGAAUGCCGGUGGAUACUGCAGGGCUAGAGUCCGGAAGAGGCGAGUGGAAUUCCUGGUGUAGCGGUGAAAUGCGCAGAUAUCAGGAGGAACACCGGUGGCGAAGGCGGAUCUCUGGGCCUUGCCUGACGCUGAGGCGCGAAAGCGUGGGGAGCGAACAGG